rnacentral:rRNA from 1 species
AGGGCCGCCCCUACAAUUGCCAAGUCGAACGGCGGCACGGACUUCGGUCUGGUGGCGAGUGGCGAACGGGUGAGUAAUGUAUCGGAACGUGCCCAGUAGCGGGGGAUAACUACGCGAAAGCGUAGCUAAUACCGCAUACGCCCUACGGGGGAAAGCAGGGGAUCGCAAGACCUUGCACUAUUGGAGCGGCCGAUAUCGGAUUAGCUAGUUGGUGGGGUAACGGCUCACCAAGGCGACGAUCCGUAGCUGGUUUGAGAGGACGACCAGCCACACUGGGACUGAGACACGGCCCAGACUCCUACGGGAGGCAGCAGUGGGGAAUUUUGGACAAUGGGGGAAACCCUGAUCCAGCCAUCCCGCGUGUGCGAUGAAGGCCUUCGGGUUGUAAAGCACUUUUGGCAGGAAAGAAACGUCGCGGGUUAAUACCUCGCGAAACUGACGGUACCUGCAGAAUAAGCACCGGCUAACUACGUGCCAGCAGCCGCGGUAAUACGUAGGGUGCAAGCGUUAAUCGGAAUUACUGGGCGUAAAGCGUGCGCAGGCGGUUCGGAAAGAAAGAUGUGAAAUCCCAGAGCUUAACUUUGGAACUGCAUUUUUAACUACCGGGCUAGAGUGUGU